AGCAGUAGCCACGGUAAUACGGAGGGCGCGAGCGUUACCCGGAUUUACUGGGCGUAAAGGGCGUGUAGGCGGCCUGGGGCGUCCCAUGUGAAAGGCCACGGCUCAACCGUGGAGGAGCGUGGGAUACGCUCAGGCUAGAGGGUGGGAGAGGGUGGUGGAAUUCCCGGAGUAGCGGUGAAAUGCGCAGAUACCGGGAGGAACGCCGAUGGCGAAGACAGCCACCUGGUCCACUUCUGACGCUGAGGCGCGAAAGCGUGGGGAGCAAACCGGAUUAGAUACCCCCGUAGUCCCUGUCUCUUAUAC
rnacentral:rRNA from 1 species